rnacentral:rRNA from 1 species
UACGUAGGGCGCAAGCGUUAUCCGGAAUUAUUGGGCGUAAAGAGCUCGUAGGCGGUUUGUUGCGUCGGCUGUGAAAUCCCGAGGCUCAACCUCGGGUCUGCAGUCGAUACGAGCAAACUAGAGUGUUGCAGGGGAGACUGGAACUUCCUGGUGUAGCGGUGAAAUGCGCAGAUAUCAGGAGGAACACCGGUGGCGAAGGCGGGUCUCUGGGCAACAACUGACGCUGAGGAGCGAAAGCGUCGGGGAGCGAACAGG